UAUACUACGACGAUCGCGGAUGAGCCUCUCGAGAAGAGUAGGUGACCUACCCAGAAUAAUACGCGUUAAAUUAUAUUAUUAUUAUUAUUAUUAUUAGCCGUGUGAUGGGAGGAAAGCCUUUUUUGUCGGCAGCAGAUCGUCUUGGGAACGUGCCACACUCGAUAAAGCUACACUAUUAUUACUGUUAUUAUUACAGUACCUGUACUAUUACUACUUCAGUUUUCGGGGUCCUGA